AACGAACGCUGGCGGCAGGCCUAACACAUGCAAGUCGAACGAAGUCUUCGGACUUAGUGGCGCACGGGUGAGUAACACGUGGGAAUAUACCUUACGCUGGGGGAUAACAUCGGGAAACUGAUGCUAAUACCGCAUACGCCCUUCGGGGGAAAGAUUUAUCGGCGAAAGAUUAGCCCGCGUCCGAUUAGCUAGUUGGUGAGGUAAUGGCUCACCAAGGCUCCGAUCGGUAGCUGGUCUGAGAGGAUGACCAGCCACACUGGGACUGAGACACGGCCCAGACUCCUACGGGAGGCAGCAGUGGGGAAUAUUGGACAAUGGGCGCAAGCCUGAUCCAGCCAUGCCGCGUGAGUGAUGAAGGCCUUAGGGUUGUAAAGCUCUUUCACCCACGACGAUGAUGACGGUAGUGGGAGAAGAAGCCCCGGCGAACUUCGU
rnacentral:rRNA from 1 species